GACGAACGCUGGCGGCGCGCCUAACACAUGCAAGUCGAACGAGAGAUGAGGAGCUUGCUCUUCAAAUCGAGUGGCGAACGGGUGAGUAACGCGUGAGGAACCUGCCUCAAAGAGGGGGACAACAGUUGGAAACGACUGCUAAUACCGCAUAAGCCCACGGCUCGGCAUCGAGCAGAGGGAAAAGGAGCAAUCCACUUUGAGAUGGCCUCGCGUCCGAUUAGCUAGUUGGUGAGGUAACGGCCCACCAAGGCGACGAUCGGUAGCCGGACUGAGAGGUUGAACGGCCACAUUGGGACUGAGACACGGCCCAGACUCCUACGGGAGGCAGCAGUGGGGAAUAUUGCACAAUGGGGGAAACCCUGAUGCAGCGACGCCGCGUGGAGGAAGAAGGUCUUCGGAUUGUAAACUCCUGUUGUUGAGGAAGAUAAUGACGGUACUCAACAAGGAAGUGACGGCUAACUACGUGCCAGCAGCCGCGGUAAAACGUAGGUCACAAGCGUUGUCCGGAAUUACUGGGUGUAAAGGGAGCGCAGGCGGGAGAACGAGUUGGAAGUGAAAUCCAUGGGCUCAACCCAUGAACUGCUUUCAAAACUGUUUUUCUUGAGUAGUGCAGAGGUAGGCGGAAUUCCCGGUGUAGCGGUGGAAUGCGUAGAUAUCGGGAGGAACACCAGUGGCGAAGGCGGCCUACUGGGCACCAACUGACGCUGAGGCUCGAAAGUGUGGGUAGCAAACAGGAUUAGAUACCCUGGUAGUCCACACCGUAAACGAUGAUUACUAGGUGUUGGAGGAUUGACCCCUUCAGUGCCGCAGUUAACACAAUAAGUAAUCCACCUGGGGAGUACGACCGCAAGGUUGAAACUCAAAGGAAUUGACGGGGGCCCGCACAAGCAGUGGAGUAUGUGGUUUAAUUCGACGCAACGCGAAGAACCUUACCAAGUCUUGACAUCCCUUGACGAUGCUGGAAACAGUAUUUCUCUUCGGAGCAAGGAGACAGGUGGUGCAUGGUUGUCGUCAGCUCGUGUCGUGAGAUGUUGGGUUAAGUCCCGCAACGAGCGCAACCCUUAUGGUCGGUUACUACGCAAGGGGACUCUGGCCAGACUGCCGUUGACAAAACGGAGGAAGGUGGGGAUGACGUCAAAUCAUCAUGCCCUUUAUGACUUGGGCUACACACGUACUACAAUGGCGUUAAACAAAGAGAAGCAAGACCGCGAGGUGGAGCAAAACUCAGAAACAACGUCCCAGUUCGGACUGCAGGCUGCAACUCGCCUGCACGAAGUCGGAAUUGCUAGUAAUCGUGGAUCAGCAUGCCACGGUGAAUACGUUCCCGGGCCUU
rnacentral:rRNA from 1 species